AUGAACGCUAGCUACAGGCUUAACACAUGCAAGUCGAGGGGCAGCAUUAUCAAAGCUUGCUUUGGUAGAUGGCGACCGGCGCACGGGUGAGUAACGCGUAUCCAACCUACCCUCCAGCAGGGGAUAGCCCGUAGAAAUGCGGAUUAAUACCCUAUGCGGUCGUUUUGUGGCAUCAUGUUACGACCAAAGACUCGUCGCUGGCGGAUGGGGAUGCGUAUGAUUAGGUAGUAGGCGGGGUAACGGCCCACCUAGCCAUCGAUCAUUAGGGGUUCUGAGAGGAAGGUCCCCCACACUGGAACUGAGACACGGUCCAGACUCCUACGGGAGGCAGCAGUGAGGAAUAUUGGUCAAUGGCCGCGAGGCUGAACCAGCCAAGUAGCGUGAAGGAUGAAGGUUCUAUGGAUUGUAAACUUCUUUUAUACGGGAAUAACAUCACCUACGUGUAGGUGCCUGCAUGUACCGUAUGAAUAAGCAUCGGCUAACUCCGUG
rnacentral:rRNA from 1 species